rnacentral:rRNA from 1 species
AGAGUUUGAUCAUGGCUCAGAUUGAACGCUGGCGGCACGCCUAACACAUGCAAGUCGAGCGGUAACAUAGUUAGUAGCAAUACUAACUGAUGACGAGCGGCGGACGGGUGAGGAACACGUAGGAACUUGCCCUUCAGAGGGGGACAACCAAGGGAAACUUUGGCUAAUACCGCAUAAUCUCGGAAGAGAAAAGUUGCCCC